GGAAGCGAAAGUGAUCAUUCACCCCUUUGAUCAUCAGGGGUCAUUUGGAGAAUUGGAUUGGCUAGGCAGUAUCUCCUGCCCUCAUUCCUCCAUGCAUCCCUCUUCAGCUGUAUGCUUGGCUGAAGAGGAUGGUCUUUCCUAAUAGAAGAAGACUGUUUCUUGGUCAAGGAUAUAUGCACAGUCCUCUCUCCUGUUAGAUAGAACGAACCUUCAACUCCCAAAGAUAGUCUCUAGAAACUAGAAGAACUCUAUUUUGGGGCUCCUGAAGGAAGGAGAGUUUACCUAGCUAU
rfam:Rattus norvegicus chromosome 3, whole genome shotgun sequence.